AUGGCGGAGUGGCGCCAGCGCCACCCGGAGGACGUCGCCUACGAGCAGGCCUACUGGGCAAGGCGCCGCGAGGAGGACACGCGAAGGCGCCGCGAGACGCGGUUGGAAAGGCGUCAGCGGAAGGCGUUGGCGAAUGCGCAGUCCGACAUCGUUGCAGCAGGUGGGCAGUCGUUCUUCGCGCCGAACGAUGAUCGGUGGCUGGACAUCUGGCUAGACACCUCGGACGACACCGCCGAGGAUGAUAAUGGUGAUGAUGAUAGCGACUUAGAGUAG
rnacentral:rRNA from 1 species